GUACGGCUCUCCAUUUCCAAGUCGUGCACAGCUUUAAUAAGGAGGAAAUUGCAGGCCCGGACUCGGGCUGCGGCAGUGUGGAGACCUGUCGCAUAAGCAGCGCAGCCCAAGCGGCUGGCUGUGAGGGCGUUCCAUGCGAAGGCAGAACGCUCAGAGUCGAGAAACAUGGCA
rnacentral:ncRNA from 1 species